rnacentral:rRNA from 1 species
AUGAACGCUGGCGGCGUGCUUCACACAUGCCAGUCCAACGGGAAACCUUUUAUUGAAGCUUCGGCAGAUUUAGCUGGUUUCUAGUGGCGGACGGGUGAGUAACGCGUGGGUAACCUGCCUUAUACAGGGGGAUAACAACCAGAAAUGGUUGCUAAUACCGCAUACGCGCACAGGACCGCAUGGUCCGGUGUGAAAAACUCCGGUGGUAUAAGAUGGACCCGCGUUGGAUUAGCUAGUUGGCAGGGUAACGGCCUACCAAGGCGACGAUCCAUAGCCGGCCUGAGAGGGUGAACGGCCACAUUGGGACUGAGACACGGCCCAGACUCCUACGGGAGGCAGCAGUGGGGAAUAUUGCACAAUGGGGGAAACCCUGAUGCAGCGACGCCGCGUGAAGGAAGAAGUAUCUCGGUAUGUAAACUUCUAUCAGCAGGGAAGAUAGUGACGGUACCUGACGAAGAAGCCCCGGCUAACUACGUG